AAUUCUAUUUAUUUUUGCAAUACCCUUCUAUUACCUGUCUUUAUUUUCCAGCUGAUUUCUUAUAUGCAGUUCAAGAAAAAUGACUUGGAAGAUUAAGGGAGUGCCUUGUAAAGGGUGUAAUUUCACCCACCAGUGAUGUAUCCCAUCCUUCAGGAGAGCAGAUGUGAACCUCCUCUUCCAGGAGCAGCACAAUUUUAGGCUUCAGCUACCAUCCAGCCUUUGAAUCCUGAUGCUGUCUCCUGGACUGGGUGCUCAGCGCAUGCACCAGUGAGCCCUGGUCUGAGCUGGGCCGUGCGUGUGAGGCUCAGCAAGGCUGCUUUGGGGGGUGAUGCUCGGAGGUAAGUGAUACGAGACUGCCCUGCUUCCUCUGAUUCCAGCUCUACCUGCCGCUGAGUAAAUAUUUUCCUGUGCAAGUGCUGUGCAAAGGUGAGUAAAGAGCUGUGGCUGCUCCCGAGGAGGAUCAUUGCUGGGGACGAAACCGGAACAUUCAUCGGGAGCCUCAGUAAUAUCCAAUUCAGAUUGCUGAUGAAUACAUCCUGACUUUGGGCACAUACCUCCUGUUAAUACUAAUGGGAAUGUCACACAUGAAUGCUGGAGAAUAUUGCCCAUUAUUUUUGGUCCCAGAGCUCUGAGCUGAGAGAUUCCCUGAGAAAAAUGGCCAUUUGCUGUAUGUUGCAGGCUGCAAUUCAUUAUAUACAGUGCAUGGUGACUGUUAUUUACCUUACAGAACUGUAAUGUGAUAAGGAGUCUAUGUAAGCCACUUAAUGGUCUGUCUACCUUAAAGAAAAUGUGUACCUGAUCAGCCUCUGAUUUAUGCCACUUUCACCCCAGCGCAACUCUAUUGGCUUCAGUGGUGUUAUCCCUGAUUUAUGCUAGUCUUAGUCGGACUUCAUGAGUUUAUGUACUUUAUAUGACUCAUGUACGCGAGGAAAAUGUAGUCUAAUAAAAUAUCUGGCUGUGCAUCGUGGCUGCAGGUUCUUUGUAGAACUGUUAACAGGGGUACUACAAAAUCGUGUUCUGCUCCUCUGCAGUGCCUAUAUAUUUCAAGGGGUUAUAUCCCAUAUCUAUAGAGAUGUAACUUAACGGUCUCAUACUUGACUAAUGUGCUGCCUGCCUGGCACAGUGGAGUGUUAGAGCUGGGCAGCAGGCACGUUAAACUUUUAAGAUGAGAAUAAGAAUUUGACUGUGGUAACUGGGGCAUUUUUGUUUUUAACUUGGCAGAUCAAGUUCCUUGCCGAAAAACAAAGAACUUUCCACAGAUUAUGUCCCUUCACUCUGAAAACAACUGUUCUUAUCUCAUUUGUCUUGCUGCAUCAGCACUUAUCUUCUGGCUUUGGGGUAGGAAAACAGUCUAUUUAUGAUGUCUAUAUUGCAGUAACAGCCAGGACACAUAGUCUUAGAUGCAGGACUCCUUGUUCUAAAAAAUGUGUAAACAGACCAAGAAACCACUGUCUGGCCCGAUGAUCCUGUGCUCCCAUUAACGAGAGCUUCUCCAAUUGCCAUGGCAGCUUUCAUCAUCUGGCCUUGUCUGCAAGGGAAGUGACCUUUCCUCAAAUCUCUGGAGCUGCGGUGUCACUCUGAGCUCUGGUGAAGUUGUUGGAGAGAUACCCAUUACUGCUGCCGGACUCCAGGCUGAUAUCAUCGUGCUGGAACUAGUUUUUGCGGCGACAUGCUUCUCCCUCCCUCUGGCAUCCAGCUCGCCCUGUCCACAUGUGCAGCCUGGGCCACGACCUCGGCGCUUGGCUGGGCUCUGACGGCCCGUUUAGCAGUCAAAGGCUGGAAAGGGAGUUGCUGGUGUGCUAUUUUUAACCAGCUGGACAGUUAAAUAAUUCAGAUGCAGACACACACGCAGUGGUCUGGGCUGCGCCUGAGAUUUGAAAGCGGAGAAGAGCGUUGUAUCACCCCUGCUAGGCUUGCUUGACCUUAUCAAGCAUGGGUUCCCAGGCUCUUUAACACAAAACAAAAACCAAACUUCCAGGAGUGAAAUCCCUGCCCCACUGAUGUCAGUCGGGCUCUGGCUGCGAUGGAGCCUGGAUCACGCUUAGCUGCAAGGCAUGAACUGUUCAGUAUUUCCUGGCUUUCUAAUGCUGCAGAACCCUUUUUUUCCAUGACAAUAAAACCCAGUUAUGGUGUGAGUAGGAGUCCAGAAUGGGGAAUGUCAAA